rnacentral:snoRNA from 1 species
UGGAACAAGUGAUGAUAACCUUAGCUUGAACUCUCUCACUGAACAGAGAUGAAACUCCAAGGUCUGAUGUUCCC